UACGAAGGGGGCGAGCGUUGUUCGGAUUUACUGGGCGUAAAGGGCGCGCAGGCGGUUUUGCAAGUCAGGCGUGAAAGCCCCGGGCUUAACCUGGGAAUUGCGCUUGAUACUCUGAGACUGGAGUUCGGGAGAGGAGAGUGGAAUUCCCAGUGUAGAGGUGAAAUUCGUAGAUAUUGGGAAGAACACCAGUGGCGAAGGCGGCUCUCUGGACCGUAACUGACGCUGAGGCGCGAAAGCGUGGGGAGCAAACAGG
rnacentral:rRNA from 1 species